UACGGGGGGGAGCAAGCGUUGUUCGGAUUUACUGGGCGUAAAGCGCGUGUAGGCGGCCCGGUAAGUCCGCUGUGAAAGUCGGGGGCUCAACCCUCGGAUGCCGGUGGAUACUGUCGGGCUAGAGUGCGGAAGAGGCGAGUGGAAUUCCUGGUGUAGCGGUGAAAUGCGCAGAUAUCAGGAGGAACACCAAUUGCGAAGGCAGCUCGCUGGGACGUUACUGACGCUGAGACGCGAAAGCGUGGGGAGCAAACAGG
rnacentral:rRNA from 1 species